rnacentral:rRNA from 1 species
UGGGGAAUUUUGCACAAUGGGGGCAACCCUGAUGCAGCGACGCCGCGUGAUUUAGAAGGCCUUCGGGUUGUAAAAAUCUUUUGUAUGGGAAGAAAAUGACAGUACCAUACGAAUAAGGACCGGCUAAUUACGUGCCAGCAGCCGCGGUAAUACGUAAGGUCCGAGCGUUGUCCGGAAUCAUUGGGCGUAAAGGGUACGUAGGCGGAUAAGCAAGUUAGAAGUGAAAUCCUAUAGCUCAACUAUAGUAAGCUUUUAAAACUGCUCAUCUUGGGGUAUGGAAGGGAAAGUGGAAUUCCUAGUGUAGCGGUGAAAUGCGCAGAUAUUAGGAGGAAUACCGGUGGCGAAGGCGACUGUCUGGCCAUAAACUGACGCUGAGGUACGAAAGCGUGGGUAGCAAACAGG